GUGUCAGCAGCCGCGGUAAUACAGAGGGUGCGAGCGUUAAUCGGAUUUACUGGGCGUAAAGCGUGCGUAGGCGGCUGAUUAAGUCGGAUGUGAAAUCCCUGAGCUUAACUUAGGAAUUGCAUUCGAUACUGGUCAGCUAGAGUAUGGGAGAGGAUGGUAGAAUUCCAGGUGUAGCGGUGAAAUGCGUAGAGAUCUGGAGGAAUACCGAUGGCGAAGGCAGCCAUCUGGCCUAAUACUGACGCUGAGGUACGAAAGCAUGGGGAGCAAACAGGAUUAGAAACCCCAGUAGUCC
rnacentral:rRNA from 1 species